GUCAAACAAGAAACUAGGUGUGAG
rnacentral:siRNA from 1 species